GGAAAGGCGCGCGAUACAGGGUGACAGCCCCGUACACAAAAAUGCACAUGCUGUGAGCUCGAUGAGUAGGGCGGGACACGUGGUAUCCUGUCUGAAUAUGGGGGGACCAUCCUCCAAGGCUAAAUACUCCUGACUGACCGAUAGUGAACCAGUACCGUGAGGGAAAGGCGAAAAGAACCCCGGCGAGGGGAGUGAAAAAGAACCUGAAACCGUGUACGUACAAGCAGUGGGAGCACGCUUAGGCGUGUGACUGCGUACCUUUUGUAUAAUGGGUCAGCGACUUAUAUUCUGUAGCAAGGUUAACCGAAUAGGGGAGCCGAAGGGAAACCGAGUCUUAACUGGGCGUUAAGUUGCAGGGUAUAGACCCGAAACCCGGUGAUCUAGCCAUGGGCAGGUUGAAGGUUGGGUAACACUAACUGGAGGACCGAACCGACUAAUGUUGAAAAAUUAGCGGAUGACUUGUGGCUGGGGGUGAAAGGCCAAUCAAACCGGGAGAUAGCUGGUUCUCCCCGAAAGCUAUUUAGGUAGCGCCUCGUGAAUUCAUCUCCGGGGGUAGAGCACUGUUUCGGCAAGGGGGUCAUCCCGACUUACCAACCCGAUGCAAACUGCGAAUACCGGAGAAUGUUAUCACGGGAGACACACGGCGGGUGCUAACGUCCGUCGUGAAGAGGGAAACAACCCAGACCGCCAGCUAAGGUCCCAAAGUCAUGGUUAAGUGGGAAACGAUGUGGGAAGGCCCAGACAGCCAGGAUGUUGGCUUAGAAGCAGCCAUCAUUUAAAGAAAGCGUAAUAGCUCACUGGUCGAGUCGGCCUGCGCGGAAGAUGUAACGGGGCUAAACCAUGCACCGAAGCUGCGGCAGCGACGCUGAUG
rnacentral:rRNA from 1 species